AUGUUUUUUAUUUGUAUGCUUGCAAAUAUCUUCUAAAAUAGCUAUUAAGUGAAAGUUAUUUCCUUUUUAGAGUGAGGUAGAUAUAAAGAUGCAUUUUAAUAGAAUAAAACAAUUAGUUCAAGAAGUUUGAUUGAGAACGUUAUUAGAUAACUUAGAAAGCGUGGGGAUGAAGUAAAACAAUGUUGGCACAGAUUCAUGAUACUUGAUCUGCUUUAAAUGACUUGGCAUCUAGCCCAUCAUUGAGCCUAUAACCAUGUGGUAAUUUGAAGUACAGUUCACAGUAGGACUUCUCUAAAGGCAUUAAAAACAUCUUCCAUGGAGGUAGGCUGCAGAAUGGAUAUAAUUUUGUUUAUUCUGUGUCUCUAGGUCGAAUGAUUGAGCUCUUAGAAUAUUCUCUAACUGUAUAUAACAUAAGUUACCUAAAAUUUUUGAAUCUGGUGGUUUAUCUGUGGCAGAUUUGUAAGGAUUGACCCCUUGAUACAGCUAAUUGAUCUUCAACUUUUUUUUGACUUUGAAAGUAGAGAGGUGAAAGGAAAAAAAGAAAGAAAAAUACUUUACCAUUUUUUUCCCUUGAAGACUACUUUCCCUAUGUCAAAUAUUGACCAUUUUCUAACCUUUUUUUUUUUUUUUUUUUAAAAGAAUGACACAUAUAAUGUAUUAUUUUUCUACCUGGCCUUUGUUUUUCCAUAUGACAUCUAUAAAUUAUUCAAUAGGAAAUAAAUUUUACUGUAGCUGUAUAUACUAAUUCACUGCCGUAAUAUCUGAGAGUUCAUUUAUCCAAUGUAAGAACAAGAUUCUUUUUUGCCUUUAGUAGGCAUUUAAAUCUUCACAAAAAAGGAUGAAAGAUUCUGUGCCCUUGUUGGCUUAUGAUGGGGAAUCUGAGGCCUAGAGAAGUUAAGUGAGUUGAACAAGGUCACACAGGUACUUAAGAUAGGGAUUACUUCAUGAAGAGCGAAAAGAAGAGACCUACCUGCCUAGUUGAGUCUUUGGCAAGUCUCCCUUCUCUGGAAGCUUUUUUCCAGUUAAUCUUAGCCCUUUCUUCACUUCUGUCUACAGCUUCAUAAAAACUAUCUUUCAAUGCCUCUUCAUGUCCGUUGUCUCAUAUAAGCUGAUUUGAGGUAAUGAUAAAAAGUAAAGAUAUCUUUUAAGUUGAGUUUAAUUUAUAAUGAAAUGGUUACAUUUACCUAACACUUGUCUUAGUCAAAUCUCAUUUGCCAAUUGUGUGUCUUCAAUUUUGGUUUGUUGAGAGACUUGUCUUAUCACUAACAUACUCCAAAACAUUUAAAAGAAACUUGUGUGUAUGAGAGAGGGCAAUUAUCAGAGAAGGUUUUAAUUAACAAGAAAAUCUUUAUCCUUCCUCUGUCAACCCCCUCCCUUGGGCACUUGCGGCACUACCAUUCCCGGUAUAUACUCUUAAAGGUUCUCUAUACUUUCCCAUGGAUGUCUUUAUAAAAGUUUUCAUUAUCACUAUUUGUUGGUUCUUUUAUGCCAAAUACUGGUCUUGUAAGAAGGCUGGCUUUGACUAAAUUUUGCUAUUGCAUUUGUUUUUAAAACUAUUAGUAUUUUUUAAUUAUAAGUGGAAGUAUAGAGCAGCAGUGGAAGAAAUUUAACUUUGUAGUCAGAGAUUCUGUGCUUGAGUCCUGACUCUGCCACUUAAAAAUUGUUGUUUGGAGCAAGUUAUUCGAUGCCCUUCUAAACCUGAGCUUUCUCAACUAUAAAAUGAAGAUGAUAUCAACUGUUAUCAUAUGCCUGUGAGGAUGAAACAAAACAUGUAGGAACUCCUAGUAAAGUGUGUAUAUCUAUUAGACACUUAGUACCUUAUUAUUUUCCAUUUCCUUUCGUAGUCUUUCUUUUAAUGGUAACAUUUGAGAAUUAGUUUAUGAAGGAGCUUUUAAGGAGUACUUGUCAAACCAAACAUUUUGACCUCUGAGAAAGCUUGGGAACUUUAGAGAACUGAAGCUCAUGGAACUCAAAACAUUUAUUUUCUGUUAUGGUAGCCCUAUUCCUCCCUUAUUCCUUGUUCCCUAUCUUUAUUUGAUCCCUUAUAAAAUACUUUAUUAUGGAUUCUUUGCUACUGGCCACGUCUCCUCCAUGGUUUAUACCAAAGAAAUUAUAAAAUGUGACUAUUUUCUUGGUCAGUUCUCUUCUUCCUACCUACCAUGCUUUUUCUUAUCAGUGAAUAUCACAUAUUUAGCAAGGAUUCAUAAAUAUGCAUGUCAUUGCCAAGUACAUAUUCUUUCUAGCAAAACCUGAUAAACUAAAAAAGGAAAAGCUUCGUUUCAAGUGGUAAUAUGAAAGUUUAUUUGAGGUCUGACUGGUUAGAGAGCAGUGGACUGCAACUUGUUUGUAAUUAGUUCAACUUUCAUGUGAAUUUGAUUUUGAAGCUUUUUAAAGUAGAGGAAAUAGAUAGGUGUUUCAGGAUUUCUGCAUUAUAGUACAGGUCCAUAAUCUCUUAUAUGAAAAAUCUUGGGGUCAGUUGUGUUUCAGCAUUUGGAAUAUUUUAGUUUUUAGAAAAGUAGUAUGGAAGCAUAUACCACGUAUGACAACACCAGAAGGGGCUUUGGGACAGUUCCUAGAAUGCAGUAUGACUUUUCACCCUAGUGUAUAGUGAGGACUGCAUAUAGUCUCAUAAGCUGCUGCAAUUGAGUUUGCUGUAAUUUAAGGGAAAAUUUUAGAUGUUUGGAACUGUUUGGAUUUUAGAAUCGUGAAUUAAGGGACUGUGUACCUGUAUUUGGAGCCCUGGUGGUGUAGUGGUUAAGAGCUGUAGCUGCUAACCAAAAAAGUUGAAGGUUCGUAUCCACCAGCUGCUCCUUGGAAACCCUAUGGGGCAGUUCUACUCUGUCCUACAGGGUAGCUAUGAGUCGGAAUCUACUCAAUGGCAACAGGUUUGUUUUUUUGGUACUUAUAUUUGUUUUAAAAAGCUAAUUUUUUAUUUUAAAUGAUUUUGUACAAAUCUGGUUUGGUUUGUAGUUAGAGUGACCAUGAUACUGUUGAGCUUAUGUUUGUAAACAUGGCCUACUAAUCAUGAGUAGGCUAGUACAUAAUUGCAUACCAACCACAGCUAUUAUUAGUGUCCUCUAGUAAUGCUAAGUAAGCAUUUUACUAGUUUUAUAUUGAGUUUACGUAGUACUCUUUCAUUACCUUCAGAGUUUAAUUAAAAUUUAUUCUCUGAGAGAUUAUUGUAAAAGAUGACCUUUGGCUUAGCAAAAGGUUUAAAAGUCUGGUUUAAAGAAAUUUAGUAAGCAUUGUAUUCUAGCGGAUUAGCAUUGUUCAGUUUCUUUCUUCCUUUUUCUUUUGCCUUUGCUCUUUUACUAUUUCAACAUAUCUCUUUUUAAAAAAUAGUUUGAGAACUGUGUAUGCAUGAAUCCUGAGGUAAAGAUAUGACUGAAACUAGUCAGUUGUUCACGGUUGCUUGUGAAGUAAAAAAUAAAUUCCAGUAGCAUGCAAAAUUUUUAUAAGUGAAUUUUGAUGGCAUGGAUGCAGACAAAUUUGCAAUGCUGUGUAUUAUUGGCCUCAAAGGUUUUGCAAGCAAGUAUGUAAGUUGUAAUUGGAUACAUGUAACCUUUUAAGCCUCAUUUUCCUUAAUUGUAAAUGAGGAUAAUAACAGUACCUAUUUCAUAGGAUUAAAAGAAAUAAUGAAUGUAAAGCACUUAACACAAUGCCUGACACAUGGUAAAGAUUCAGAAACUGCUACCAUUAAAACUUUUUUUUCAAGUGGAAAAGCUAACUUUGUGUCAACGUUUAAACUUU